AUUGAACGCUGGCGGCAGGCCUAACACAUGCAAGUCGAACGGAGUGGCGGACGGGUGAGUAAUGUAUCGGGACGUGCCCAGUAGCGGGGGAUAACUACGCGAAAGCGUAGCUAAUACCGCAUACUAUUGGAGCGGCCGAUAUCGGAUUAGCUAGUUGGUGGGGUAACGGCUCACCAAGGCGACGAUCCCUAGCUGGUUUGAGAGGAUGACCAGCCACACUGGGACUGAGACACGGCCCAGACUCCUACGGGAGGCAGCAGUGGGGAAUUUUGGACAAUGGGGGAAACCCUGAUCCAGCCAUCCCGCGUGUGCGAUGAAGGCCUUCGGGUUGUAAAGUACUUUUGGCAGGAAAGCGGUACCUGCAGAAUAAGCACCGGCUAACUACGUGCCAGCAGCCGCGGUAAUAC
rnacentral:rRNA from 1 species